rnacentral:rRNA from 1 species
CCUACGGGGCGCAGCAGUAGGGAAUUUUCGUCAAUGGGCGCAAGCCUGAACGAGCAAUGCCGCGUGAACGAGGAAGGUCUUCGGAUCGUAAAGUUCUGUUGAAGGGGAAAAAGAGCGGAGAGAGGAAAUGCUUUCUGAUUGAUAUUACCCUUCGAGGAAGUCACGGCUAACUACGUGCCAGCAGCCGCGGUAAUACGUAUGGUGCAAGCGUUAUCCGGAUUUACUGGGUGUAAAGGGAGCGCAGGCGGCGCGUUAAGCCUGGUGUGAAAGCCCGCGGCCCAACCGCGGGACUG